rnacentral:rRNA from 1 species
UACGUAGGGUGCAAGCGUUAAUCGGAAUUACUGGGCGUAAAGCGUGCGCAGGCGGUUUUGUAAGUCAGAUGUGAAAUCCCCGGGCUUAACCUGGGAACUGCGUUUGAAACUACAAGGCUAGAGUGUGGCAGAGGGGGGGUGGAAUUCCACGUGUAGCAGUGAAAUGCGUAGAUAUCAUUUGGAACGCCAAUGGUGAAAACAGCUCGCUGGGGAUGUACUGACGCUGAGACACGAAAGCCAGGGGAGCAAACGGG